GAUGGACGCUGGCGGCGCGCCUAACACAUGCAAGUCGAACGAUUAAAGCACCUUCGGGUGUGUAUAAAGUGGCGAACGGCUGAGUAACACGUGGGCAACCUGCCCCUUUCAUUGGGAUAGCCACGGGAAACCGUGGAUAAUACCGAAUACUUCGAGACUUCCGCAUGGAAGACUCGAGAAAGCUCCGGCGGAGAGGGAUGGGCCCGCGGCCUGUUAGCUUGUUGGUGGGGUAACGGCCUACCAAGGCAAUGAUGGGUAGCUGGGUUGAGAGACCGACCAGCCAGAUUGGGACUGAGACACGGCCCAGACUCCUACGGGAGGCAGCAGUGGGGAAUCUUGCACAAUGGGCGAAAGCCUGAUGCAGCGACGCCGCGUGCGGGAUGAAGGCCUUCGGGUUGUAAACCGCUUUCAGCAGGGACGAGGCGAAAGUGACGGUACCUGCAGAAGAAGCCCCGGCUAACUACGUGC
rnacentral:rRNA from 1 species